UACGAAGGGGGCGAGCGUUGUUCGGAAUUACUGGGCGUAAAGGGCGCGCAGGCGGCUCUGAAAGUCAGAUGUGAAAGCCCCGGGCUUAACCUGGGAAUUGCAUUUGAUACUCUGGAGCUUGAGUACGGGAGAGGAGAGUGGAAUUCCCAGUGUAGAGGUGAAAUUCGUAGGUAUUGGGAAGAACACCGGUGGCGAAGGCGGCUCCCUGGACCGUAACUGACGCUGAGGCGCGAAAGCGUGGGGAGCAAACAGG
rnacentral:rRNA from 1 species